rnacentral:ncRNA from 1 species
AGAGGGGAGCUUGAUCCAUCAGGCUGAGAGGAAGCGAAAAGGAGCUUCGACCCUUUGACCUGAUGUGGAUAAUGCCACCGUAGGAAGCUGAUA